rnacentral:rRNA from 1 species
UACGGAGGGGGCUAGCGUUGUUCGGAAUCACUGGGCGUAAAGGGCGCGUAGGCGGCUUUAUAAGUCGGGGGUGAAAGCCUGUGGCUCAACCACAGAAUUGCCUUCGAUACUGUAUGGCUUGAGACCGGAAGAGGUUAGUGGAACUGCGAGUGUAGAGGUGAAAUUCGUAGAUAUUCGCAAGAACACCAGUGGCGAAGGCGGCUGACUGGUCCGGAUCUGACGCUGAGGCGCGAAAGCGUGGGGAGCAAACAGG